GAUGAACGCUGGCGGCGUGCCUAACACAUGCAAGUCGAGCGCGAAUAGGGGCAACCCUUAGUAGAGCGGCGCACGGGUGCGUAACACGUGGGUAAUCUGCCUGGAAGCUCGGGAUAACUAGCCGAAAGGUUAGCUAAUACCGGAUAAGCCCCCGGGGACUUCGGUCCUUGAGGGAAAAGAUGGCCUCUGUAUACAAGCUAUCACUACCAGAUGAGCCCGCGGCCCAUCAGCUAGUUGGCGGGGUAAUGGCCCACCAAGGCAACGACGGGUAGCUGGGCGGAGGGGACGAUCAGCCACACUGGAACUGAGAGACGGUCCAGACUCCUACGGGAGGCAGCAGUGGGGAAUUUUGCGCAAUGGGCGAAAGACUGACGCAGCAACGCCGCGUGUGUGAUGAAGGUCUUCGGAUUGUAAAGCACUUUCGACCGGGACGAAACUCCUUCACCUAAUACGUGGGGGCCUGACGGUACCGGGAGAAGAAGCACCGGCUAACUCUGUGCCAGCAGCCGCAGUAAAAC
rnacentral:rRNA from 1 species